AUUGAACGCUGGCGGCAGGCCUAACACAUGCAAGUAGAACGAGUGGCGGACGGGUGCGUAAUGUCUGGGAAACUGCCUGAUGGAGGGGGAUAACUACUGGAAACGGUAGCUAAUACCGCAUACCAUCAGAUGUGCCACGAUGGAAUUAGAGAGUUGGUGGGGUAACGGCUAACCAAGGCGACGAUCCCUAGCUGGUAUCAGAGGAUGACCAGCAACACUGGAACUUAGACACGGUCCAGAAUCCUACGGGAGGCAGCAGUGGUGAAUAUUGCACAAUGGGCGCAAGCCUGAUGCAGCCAUGCCGCGUGUAUGAAGAAGGCCUUCGGGUUGUAAAGUACUUUCAGCGGGGAGGCGUUACCCGCAGAAGAAGCACCGGCUAACUCCGUGCCAGCAGCCGCGGUAAUAC
rnacentral:rRNA from 1 species